rnacentral:snRNA from 1 species
GUCCGGUGGAAACACCGUGACAUAUGAAAAAUUGGAAAAGAUACAGAGAAGAUUAGCGAAACCCUUGCACAAAGAUGGUUUUACCUAACCGUGAAGCUCCAAUUCUAUUU